rnacentral:tRNA from 1 species
GAGCCCGUCCGGAUAAACAAGAACUGCUAACUCAUGAUUCCAUGGUUCAACUCCAUGGCUAGCUCA